rnacentral:rRNA from 1 species
CCUACGGGAGGCAGCAGUGAGGAAUAUUGGUCAAUGGACGAGAGUCUGAACCAGCCAAGUAGCGUGAAGGAUGACUGCCCUAUGGGUUGUAAACUUCUUUUAUAUGGGAAUAAAAUGUUCCACGUGUGGGAUUUUGUAUGUACCAUAUGAAUAAGGAUCGGCUAACUCCGUGCCAGCAGCCGCGGUAAUACGGAGGAUCCGAGCGUUAUCCGGAUUUAUUGGGUUUAAAGGGAGCGUAGGUGGAUUGUUAAGUCAGUUGUGAAAGUUUGCGGCUCAACCGUAAAAUUGUAGUUGAAACUGGCAGUCUUGAGUACAGUAGAGGUGGGCGGAAUUCGUGGUGUAGCGGUGAAAUGCUUAGAUAUCACGAAGAACUCCGAUUGCGAAGGCAGUUCACUGGACUGCAACUGACACUGAGGCUCGAAAGUGUGGGUAUCAAACAGGAUUAGAUACCCUUGUAGAC